UUGGAGGGCAAGUCUGGUGCCAGCAGCCGCGGUAAUUCCAGCUCCAAUAGCGUAUAUUAAAGUUGUUGCAGUUAAAAAGCUCGUAGUUGAAUUUCGGGAUCAGAUUGUCGGUCGUGCCUCGGUACGCACUGGCAUUAUUGGUUCCUACCUUCUGAAGAACCGCGAUGUCAUUAAUUUGGUGUCGUGGGGAAUCAGGACUGUUACUUUGAAAAAAUUAGAGUGUUUAAAGCAGGCGCACGCUUGAAUACAUUAGCAUGGAAUAAUGAAAUAGGACGUUUGAUUCUAUUUUGUUGGUUUCUAGGAUCGACGUAAUGAUUAAUAGGGAUAGUUGGGGGCAUUAGUAUUCAAUUGUCAGAGGUGAAAUUCUUGGAUUUAUUGAAGACUAACUACUGCGAAAGCAUUUGCCAAGGAUGUUUUCAUUAAUCAAGAACGAAAGUUAGGGGAUCGAAGACGAUCAGAUACCGUCGUAGUCUUAACCAUAAACUAUGCCGACUAGGGAUCGGAUGAUGUUGAUUUUAUAAUGACUC
rnacentral:rRNA from 1 species